rnacentral:lncRNA from 1 species
AUUAGUACACUCAUUAUUUUGCAUUUCCUUUUUGAAAGAAUGAAACUUAUCGGUUCAAUUUGAUUCAGGGCUACGUACUCGGAAACCCUCUAACAAAUUAUAAUAGUGACCUGAAUUCAAGAGUCCCAUUUGCUCAUCUGAAGGGUCUUAUAUCAAAUGAGCUAUAUGAGGUAAAGACUUAUGCUUUUUCUACGGCAUAUCACGAGACAAAUUUUUUUCAUGUUUUUUGUUAUUGCCUAGUGCGUGAAAAGAUUGAUUGAGACGCAUACUACAUGUAUUAGAUGUAGACGUGCAUCGUUAUUUUUAGAACGAAAUACAAAUUCAUAAAAUUUUCUUAAUUAUCAAGACUAAUAUCAUAAAAAGCGAGAAAACAAAAGGUAAAAGUAUGUGUUCUGAGAUUUUUGCCCACACCAAAUAUUUCUCCACGAAUCACUUAUUUUUAUUUAACAUUUGAUUCCAAAAUUAAUGUCCAUCUUAUAUAUGUAUUCCAGUCAGCUAAAACAGAUUGUAAUGGCAAGUACUUAAACGUCAACGAAAGCAAUGCUGAUUGCGUCGACGAUAUUAAAGCUGUGAACCUGGUUAGUUGGCAUUCAUUCUUCUUUUCUUUCCUUCCUCUUUAUUUCUUUAUUAUUUCUUUCUGUCUUUUUUCCCUUUUUGAUCAAUAUUUUUUUAUUAUUGGAAAUUCCAUGUAUUGAACCUAGACUUUUUGCUAACUAUAGUGCCUGGAGAAUAUAAAUACGGGAAGCAUACUGGAACCGAAAUGCGUGACUCAGGCUCCCAAAUCGACGGUGAGUGAUAGGUGGGACCCGACCUUAAUAAAUCGAGACCGUUCACCUCUCCUUUUGCCGACGCAGAGAGCUCCCCGGGUUUGGUGCCGGGUAAGUGUCAACUAUUUAGCAUCAUAAUGUAAUCUAUAAUUAGAAACAUCGCUUAUUUUUCUUUUUACCUUUUAACUAAUUUAAUUUUAGGAAAAAUGACGUAAACAGUCCCGGCAUUUUGGCUCAAUAUGUAAUUUGGUCAUUGGAUUUUAAAUUUGUUUAAUAUAACCUCUAAACUUUCAUCAAAUGUGCAAUUUAAUUCGUUCAAUAUAGUCCUUGAGCUUUUGAUUCAUAUUUAAUAUAGUCAUUGAACUAUAUGAAAAUAUUUAAUAUAGUCAUUCUAGUAAUUUGAGACCAGGGAUUACUUGAACAUUUCAUACAAUUCAUGGAUUAUAUUGAAUAUAUAUUAAAAUUUCAGGACUAUAUUGAAUAAAUUAAAAGUUUAUGGACCACUUACAAAUUGAGCUAAAGUCAGGGAUCAUAUUGAACAAAUUAAAAGUUUAAGGACCAAAUUGUAUGUUGGGCUAAAGUUCAGGGACUGUUUGUGUUAUUUUCCUUUAAUUUUAGCCACAUAUGCACUUUGACUUUUCUAUACUCAAAAUACCUAAAACUUCCAUAAUAUAUAAAUAUUAACACAUAGAUUCGAGUAUAAGGUUUUCAUAAAUUAUUGGAAUUUGAAGAUUCGAGUAUAAGGUUUUCAUAAAUUAUUGGAAUUUGAAUAAUAUAUAUAAUUCUGACGAGAAAACAAGAUGUCAUUUUUUGUUUUGUUAAAGUAGACGUGACUUAAUUAAUUAGAUAUUUGCUGGACCAUCAUCUUCAUUGUUCAAAUUACUACUUUUUCGGAUUAGUUUGAUCCUCUACUUCAUCAUCCAUUCUCUACUCAAGAAUAUCAAAUGCACGUUAACAUUUACGUUCAAGAGAAACGGGAAAGAAAAGAGUAAUGUUCACAUCAUUGAUUAUUAGCCACACCAUACAAUACAAAUUUGUUACGCUGUAAUUAGUAUCCAUUUAUAUCAAAAUUCGAUAAUUAAUAUAUCAUUAAAGAACAAGGCUAGAAAUUAGAAAUGAAAAAUCUCGAAAUCUGAUGAUCUACCUAUUUUCGUGAUAAUAACAAAAAUUAAAGAAUGUCUUGUGAAAUUGUCUUGUGAAAUAUUCCUAAUACAAAGAAUCAUGAUCAAAUUGCAAAGUUCCCAGCUCAAUUCAGUAACCUUGUUUUUCAAUGUAGAAUUAUAAUUAUCUCUAUUCCUAUAUCUGGGCUAGCGAUAAAGCGGUUCAAGAUGCUCUUCAUAUCCGAGAGGUAUGUCAAUUUGUGAUGAUGAUAUAGUAAAAUCACUCUUUAAUCUUUUGCUCUUUUUUUUUAUUAUCUAUUUUUGGUCUAUGUUUUGUGAUGUGUUUAAUGAUAAGCCAGGGGACAAUUGAGGCGUGGGUAAGGUGCAAUAAGACUUUAUCUUACACAUCCAAUGUCCUAGUUGUCAUUGACAUACAUAAAGAGCUCAUAAAAAGAGGAUUUCGAGCGCUUAUUUAUAGGUAAUGAAGCACCGCUUUGCAAUGUGAUUUAUGGCUCAUAGUCGACCUACUUACUUCAUUUAAUAUUACUCUUUCUUAAUGUGUAGUGGUGAUCACGACAUGGUCAUCCCGUACGUGGGAACUCAAGCCUCGAUCGACACACUGAAUAUGACGAUUUCUACAGAUUGGCACGCGUGGUUCGUUGAUGGACAAGUUGCUGGGUCUGGUUUCAUAACAACCUCCUAACUAUUGCAUAGUUCACUUUCUAUAUAACUUGUCCCGACAUUGCAGUACUUAUGCUGAUUUUAUUGAAUGAGGCUCCUGCAUGUUCGAUACUCGGUGAAAGUAAUAUGCUGUCCAUCCGAGUUCCUUAGGAUAAUAUCGCAAAGUGCAUGUAUAGCAUCUACACAAUUUAUCCUUUUUUUUAUUUUUAUUUUUAUUAUACCUUCUAUUGGGUAUCUCAAUUGUUUGUGCAUGCUUUGCUCUCUUUUCUUUCUUGUAGGUAUGCCACGCUAUACUCUUCCUUUCCAUCCCUGUUAACAUUUGCAACCGUCAAGGUAAAGAAAUUCAUAUCGUAUAUUUUCUUCCUUACAAGCCCUUUUCUCUUAGCUUUUUCACAUUUUCAUAUCUUAAUUUCAACGAAAAUGGCUCCUUAGAAGUCGCGAACCAUACGUUGAAAGUGGUGUUAUAUGAACUCUUCGUGCAGGGAGCGGGACACACGGCUCCAGAAUACAAGCCCGAGGAAUGUUUUGCGCUGAUUAGUAGGUGGUUCGAUUAUUUUUACAUUUAACUUGCGCUUGUAGCUCCCUUUUAGUUCAACUAUUUAUAUGAUAAAAAAAUUGUCGAUGUAAUAAUUUUUCGGUGCUCCGAUUUGGGAAUGAUGCUGAAAUGGAUAUCCUUGUCAUCUCUACGAAUUCCGGAUUUGAUUGAGCUCCCGAGACAUCUAACAUUGUGACACCUCAAAGAGUUUUUUCUUGCAGGAAUGUUGUUGAUGAGUGGUAACACCGCUCUCAAUAAGUAACUCAUGGAGAAUACAUACUUUACAUUUUUUUAAUACAUUGAUCUAUCUCAUAUCAUAUGCGUUCAAUACCUUGAUAGUCAAACUGUUUAAGAGGGGCCCCAAAGGCACCGUUGACAUGAUCCUCAAUAAGUAAUUGGGAGCAUCGCUCUAUUAUACACCUCUGUGACAGCCUGAAUUUUUAGAUUUCGUUUUCGAUUAAAUAAAUCGGGCAUUUUAUCGAUGCGCCAAUAGUGUUAUUCUCUGAGCUGAUCACUCAUGAGAUAACUGGACUAUCUGGGGAAAUAAUUAAGAAAUCUAAAUGCAAUUGGACUUGAGAAUUCGACCAAGAGUCGACUGCUCGACCGUGUUGGUUUGCAAGGGUCAUUACGGUACCGUCAGAGAUCGAUUAGAGAUUAGAGAUAGGUUGACUCGACUGAGAUAUGUGAUCAAAUUGUAUGUCAACUCAACUGAGAUAUGUGAUUAAAUUGUAGGUGAUUCCAUUUGGUUGCAAAAUUCUCAUCGAUCGGCACUAAAUUGAUUUUCUGUCGUUUUGAUACCUGGUGCCCGUAAUUGAAAUAUCGAGAUUUUUAUGAUAAUCGAAAGUCGCCAAUAUGUUAGAGAUGUACAUUGUGACUUGAGAUAAAUUUAUCAUGGGUCAAUUGCACCAAAAAUUCCGAAAAGUUAUCCGGUAGACUAAGUCACGCUAAAAGCGCGCUGGAUUAAAAAUAACUGCGAAUUUGAACUUGAUUUCAGAAAUUGAAAGUUAUGUGGUGUCACGAACUAUUUUAGAAACGUUGACUCAUCCUCUGAAGAUUUUUCAGAGAUUCUGAAAUUUUUACAGAAAAUUGUUUCGGACGUUGCAGAAAUUAGUGGAAAAAUUCAAAUGGGCCAAAUUAAAGGAAAUUUGAACUUGUAAGCUGAGCUAUUUGAUAAGGGGCACUUGUAGGAAUUCUACGGGCUUUUUCUUCAUUCAAAUUGGGACCUCAAUUUGGGAAAUUGAAGUUUAAUUUGAGCUAAAUUCGGAACUUAGGAUGAGGGGUGCAUUAUUUGCAUCAAAAUGGAUUUAUUUUGGAUUUAUGCUUGUUGGAAAGUAUUAUUGGACAAGUGGAUAAGUAUGAAGAAAAUUGGGGGGACAAGCAUUUAUGAAAAUUGGACCUUUCUCUUAAUUUUUCUACCCUUUCUACCCUUAUCCCUGCCGGUCUCCCUCUUUUCUAUAAACGACAUCGUCUCUCUCUCGGUUCGAUUCACUCGUACCAGCAUAUCUGGCAGAACUCCUCCCCAUCGUGACUCUUCUUCAUGUGCCUCUCCACGUGGCGUUGAAGCUGCUGCUAUCUGUUGCUCCACCAGCGAAGACUUCCCCGAAUUCCACCGAACGUCCAUCUUCCACCGAAAACAACCUAGCCCCUGCCAUGUCUUUGUGCGCUGCGCGUCCACAGCCCAGCCCUCCUUGGUCAACAGCCUCCAUCGAGUUGAAGCCCACGAAGACCGAAGCCAGCGAAGUCCACGUUUCACUGAGUCUUUGUUUCGUCCGCAAUGCCAGCGCCACACGUCUGAGUCUCCUCCAACAGCAACGCGCCUGCACCAUCUUUGGUCAACCAUCUCCACAGUUCUUCCUCUCCUGCGUGUCUUCAUUCCAACGGACCAUCAGCAUGUUGGCUUCUCCAGCUGCCGUGAAUUCUAGCAAAGUCAGCCCAUGGUUGGGCCCUCCUUUAGCCCACGUGAUAGCAGCUCCUUUGGGCCGUGUCUUCAGCCCAGCGAAGAAGUCAGGCCAGCCAUGUGAAUGUAAUCUUCAGCCCUUGAAGCCCAGCCACGACAGGCCCAAUUCUGUAGCCCAGUACUGCAGCCAGCCCACCUUCAGUUAGAUUUGAAGCCCAACCCAAGUUAAAAGCAAAUCUUAGAUUUGGGCUGUGAUUUGUUGGGCCGAUUUUAGGUCUAGUCCAAGCCCUCGGGUGUCGUCGUGAGCCUAGGUUCGGCCGUCGUCAUGUUGAACCGGUUUCCGCAAGUAACCGGUGAGUUUAUACUCUAAACACUACUUAGUAGGCUAAUAACGUUUAAUAGGUGUUUAGAUUUAUUUUAUUAGGAAUUAGGUGGUUAGUUAGAUCGAAUUAGAAAUUUAAUUAUUUAAUUGAGCAUGUUAAGUGGUUAGCAUGGUUUAGCUAAGGCAUAAAUAAAUUAUACUGUUUAUCUAGAAGGGUUCGGGAAUUUUCCGAGUCCGUAUUGGUAUUUAAUUUAAUAAUUUUGGCCUAGCUUAGUAUUUUUAGAAAUUGAAUUAAUUGAUUAAUUAAUUAAUUUUCGAAAUUAGUUAAUUAUUAAUUAUUUUUCCAAAAAUUAGGUCAGGAUAGCCGAUGACUGGAAUUUCGUACUGAUUGCAAUGGUGUGGUUAAAUUCUGAAAUUGAGUGUUAAAUUAUGCAAAUUGAGUGCUGAUUGGAUUUUUAGUAUUUAAUUCCAAAAAUUGUGAAUUUCCAAUAUUUAUUCAAAAAAUUGCGAAUGUAAGGUUUUGACACCGAAAAUAGUUUUUAGUAUUAUAUGAAAUAGUGGGAUUUCAAAAAAGAAGAAUAUCAAUUUUUAUGGGUCAAGUUGACCGUGUACCCACACACGAGUAAUUUCAUGUGAAUUUCUAAUACGAAGAAAAAGGUCAGGCUCACUAUUUUAAUUAAAGCAUUUGAGUGCAAUGCACGAUGCCCUGGGCCGUAUUUGAGUGAUCGUGUGAUGAUUGAGAGAAAUCUUCCCGGGCUGUUAAGUUGGACAUUAUCUCUAGUUGGGAUACCCCUGGACAACGGGAAGCCGGUCACAAUAGAUUUUGGACCCUAUACUCCUUCGAGAAAGUUGUCUAAAAGAGACAUGUUGUGCUCAAUGGGGUGAAACGAAGCCCAGCAAUGCCAAAAGACUGCCGAAUAAAGAGUAGGCCGUGCUAUAUGCCGAGAUCAAAACUAGAAACACAUGAUUAAUUAAGUGUGUCAUUUCAAUUAUUGGAGCUUAUUUGUUUCUCAUGUGCUCAUGUUGUUUGUGAUAUAAAUUGUAUUGACCUACAGGGCGAAUCUGAGACAAGAUAAGUCUCAUUGAUUGUGUGAUUGUGUGAUUAGGAUACUUCUUGGCAUAUUUCCCUCCUAAUCGGGGUUUAGAGCUUAAACCCGCUGAGAUUAUAUCUCACCCCAUUGUGGGACAACAUUUUCAGGGUCGUCGAGUGGAGGACCUGGAGCUGAGGGAGGUGAUCGGAAGCAUAGGUUAGUUAGGACCGCUUCUUUUUGGAAUGCUAGUUUUUUGUAGUCUUUUGACCAUAGACUUUUGAACAUGACUCGGUGUAUAUAUAAAAACAUGUUUGUUUGUGAUUCUAUUAUCCUGCUUUUCUAUUCCGAGAUGAUUAUUGUUAGGGGAUUUAUAAUCUGUUUCCGCAUGUGCAAUAAAACAAAAAGGGUCGGCGACUAGUCUUUGGAAGUCGCAAAAUUUUAUUGACCAAAGAGGGAUGGGUACACGCUCAGGGUUCGGGGCGUGACAACCUCCCUGGUCAUUGAAUGAUUGAUGGAAAUGCAGCCUGUAACGGCUCAACAAUGGAACUUUUUAAAAGGCUACUUAUUGCUAUUGGUUGUCUGUAAAAGAAAAAAAAAAUAGUGCUUUUUUUUUGGUUUCGCAUAAGAAAGUUUGGAGGGAUGUGGACCAUGUGUAGGCGUCUUCUAACUUGUGGGCUAGACCUUACAAUACCCACACACAAGUGUGUGAUUUUGGCACAAUUAUUAGGCACAGUUAGCCUUUUGUACACUCGUGGAUAAAAAGUAGCACUAACCGUCUAUUAAUUGUUAUUUUUUUUGUUUCGUGCUGCUAUUUUGCUAAUCUUUCUUAGUCAUGUCUCAACUUUGAAAAGUUGUAUUUGUUCAAUCGAUAUUUUUCAGAAGUUAUGAAAUUCAGAAUUAAAAAAAACUAUUUCGUUAUUAUUUUUAUUAUUUAUUACUAUUACAAUUUUUAUUCCAAAUUGUGAUAGGUCUUUCAAUGUAAUCUUAGAAUGUACCUGUUCACUUUGCAACCUUUCUUGUUCAUUAAGACCGAGACAAUACAACGGUUUUGGAAUCAAUGAAAAAGUCUGGUUGAAGUUUUUUUCCAUAAAAAUUAUAACUAUCUUUUCAAUUGUUUCCCUUGAGAGAUUAUGAAAAAAAUACUAGAAUUACUAUAUGAUAUUCUCGAUUGAGACUUUGUUUUAUCGUUGAGGAUUUUUGCCAAUGACCAUUAACAAUAUAGUGGGGCAAAUAAUUCCUUAAAGACAGUGUUAUCACGCUUCAAAGUUUGAUUUCAUUCUAUCCAAUCCAAAGCAUUUUGCCAACAAUUGCAAGGGAGGUCAAAUGUUUUGUUAACUACUUAAUGUCUUUUUUCUGAAGUUGGCGUCAAAUGCUUCAAUCCUCAUUUUCCCUUAUUCAAACUGGGGUUGGUGUACCUCCCCUUCAACGGUGAAGGUGAGAAGGGGCGAUGAUGAGCCCCUUCACGUUUUGCAGCUAAACAUAUGAUCCAUCCUCUAAUUCCAAAACUCGUAAUGGGAUUAGAAUAAAAGACACAGACAAAACUUUCACUUUCUAGCUCAUUACACUUCACGAGCGACCAAAAAUCCUGGACAAAUCUCGGUCGUUUAUCAAAUGACGCGAAAAUACCAUUUUACAUGGAUAAAUCUCGGGGUCCUUAUCGCAUGAGUCCAUUAAGCGGGGCAUGUCAUGACAUUGCAUUUUACGAGAAAUCUUUCCGUAGCCAUUUUUUGGGAAUUCAACUAGAAGCAGACCUACUAUAAAAGUGCAUUCAUAUUCAUGGAAAGGUAACAAGAAUUUGAUUCACUCCUCUGCUGGGGGACUUUCGCUGCAUCAGUUCCCAUCAUUAAAAUUGGUUAAUUUUUGCAGGUCGCAAAUAUUAUAUUCUUGGAUGAUCCUGUCGGAACCGGAUUCUCUAAAUGACAAAUGUUCAAUAUCCAAGAUAUUUAUAUUCAAGAUGUUUCAACGAACCAUUUAAAAAAAAUAUUUUUCUAAAAAUAAUUGUUUAUAUAAUACAAAAGAAUAAGUCAAUGAAUAUAUAUAUAUAUAUAUAUUUUAAUUAUCAACAACAAUUUAUAUCUCAAUAUUUUUUUGAUGAUGAAGUUGACUAUUUUUUUCUUGACAAUAUGAGCAAUCAUUUUUAGGAAAAAUAAAUCAUUACAUUUCCGUGAACCAAACACUCUCUUGAUUUUACUAUGAUAUUUUGCUGCUUGAGCUUUGAUUUAGUGGCUUACAUGGCUGCCCUUUGAGUAUCCGAGCAACCCCCUCAACUUAUGUGCAAUGCUCUUUUGAGCAUCAUAACUUUUUCUCCUAUCAUUUAAAUGUUAUAUAACUUUUGAAUCAAUCAGUUGAGUGCCAUAAUAUAUUCAAACCGUUCAUCACAGGUGCCAUGCCACUCCGGAUUUUUGGCAUUUAAGUGACGUUUAUUAUCAUUCUAUUUUUAUAAUUUUCAGUUGCCCAUGGUAAACCAAACAGGAGGGCAAGAAAGUGUGUGGUACCAAGAAUUAAUUCACCUUUUGUUAGUAGAGAAGUUGUAUUUGAUGAGUCCCAAAAACUAUUGGGCAAGAGUGAUUGUGUUAGUGUUUAUAUGGAUAGGGAGAUGUUCAAUUUAAGUUGGAGUUGAAACCAUAAACUCCUAAAGUUGAUGGUGCUAGCAUGUUAAUAAACACAAAUAGUGCUUAUAGAGAGGUAGAGCUUAUAGAACUAAUGGUUGUCGUAAUUGUUGGGUUUAACAAGGUGCAUGUUUGAUCUCUUGAUAGGUAUGCAUGCGAUGAUUUUGCUUUAUCUGAGGUUGAGGAAGUUGUGUAGGAAAAUCUUUGUGGAGAAGUUAAUAAAUGCAAGUGGAGUUGGGAUUCUAAUGAGGUCCAAGGUUAUGGCGAAGUUCAUGUAUAACUUGGAUUUCAAGGAUAUUGGUGGCGGUUGAGCCCAUAAGGGCCUAUGGGUGUGACGUCCCAGAUUUUCAGUCAUGUUUUUUAUUGAAUAAAUAUUUUAUUGACGCGUCUAUAGAGUUAUUCUUAGAGCUGAUUACUCUCGAGAUAACUGGACUAUUUGAGGAAGUCAUUAAGGAAUUUUAAUCCAAUAGACUUGAGAAUUCGACUGGGAAUUGAUUUCUCGACCGUGUCCAUCUUUAGAGGUCAUUACGGCACAGAUAUAAAUCAAUUCGAGAUCAGAGAUAGGUUGGUUUGACUAAGAUGUGUGGCUAAUCGUGAGUGACACCACUAAAUUAAAAAAUUCUCGUCAAUCAAUACUAGAUUGAUUUUCUUAUUGUUUUGGUAUCAUGUGUCCGUAUUUAGAUCAUCGGGAUUUUCAUGACAAUCGAGAGUCGCCAAUAAGUCGAGUAGGUUCAUAGUGGCUCGAAGAAAAUCAACCACGGGUCAUUUGCACUAAAAAUUUCUGAAAGUUACUCGGUAGCCUAAGUCACGCUAAUAACGCGUCGAAUGGAAAUUAACCGUGAAUUCGAGUCCGAUUUUAGAAAUUGAAAGUUCGGUUAUGUCACAAGCUAUUUUAGGAACGUCGAAUCACCCUCCAAAGAAUUUUCAGAGAUCCUGAGAUUUUUCACGGAAAAUCGAUUCGGAUGUUGCGAAAAAUUAGUAGAGAUUUAUAUGGGCUAAAUCGAUGGAAAUUAUGACUUCUAAUUUGAGCCUUUGAGUGCCAGGGAAUUACAGAAAAUUGCUCAUGAUUUUUCUUCAAAGGAAUUGGACCUCGAUUUGGAGAAUUGGUGAAGAAAAUUAAGAGUAUUUGAGUGAAAUUCGGAACUAAGGUCUUGGGGCUGUAUUUUGGCACCAUUUGAGCUAAUUGUGGAUUAAUUUGCAAGAAAAUAAUUAGGAGACCAAAGAGGGUAGGUGUGUGGGUUUUUGGGGGACACCAUAGGAUAAAAUGGAAGACUUCCUGGACCCAUUUCAUGAUGAAAAUUGAGAUAUCUUACUAGAUUUUUUGCCUCCCUCCUUCGGUCUUUCUCAUCAGUGCGUUCAUUCUCUUCGACCGUUCCAUUCUCCCCGCUUCUAUUUUUCAUUUCCUCUUUUCCCAUCUCCUUUGCACGCCAUAGCCCCACCGAGCGAAACCUCUGCCGCCAGCGGCUUUGUCUUCUUCCCAAUUUCCUCUCAGCCGAAGUUCUCCCAUAGAAGCUGCUCGUUUCUUCAGCUCCUCGCGGUCACGUCCCUCUCCGCACGUCCAAGCCCACCGAUGGCCGAAUCCCCAUGCCUAGUCAACGAAAGAGUCCAACAAAAAUCGGUUUGUUGACCUCCUAGCCCCACACGAAGCCGCCCAUCUCCACAAAGCCUUGCUGAACGAAGCCCCACGCUGCCCUGUGUUCAACCGAUCAACCUAGCAAUUCCACCGACUCUCUGCAGUCGCGCCAGCACGCCCAUGCUCCACCAAAUUUUGUCUCCUCAAGUCAACCCGCCAAGCAGAUUGUUGACUCCUCCACCGAAUCAAGCUGCAACUCCAUUUGGCUUCACAUUUAGCCGGCAGCCGCCACGAGCGAGGUAGCAGCCUUCAUCUUCGGCUUCUUCAAUCUAGCUCACCCAACGCCGCAUCUGCUUCUCUCACGCCAGUCCCCUUCGAUUGAAGCCGCGGCCCGUCAAUUCCAGCGAAGCCAAAGACAAGCCCAGCAGCUGUUUGGUCCAGUCCAUUUGAAACUCGACGAAUUCUGCCUUUGGAGCCCGUGAAUUUUGGCCUAGCCCAUCCGAAGUCAAGCCCUGCAGCAGCAAGCCCAUCUCAGCCCAUUUGAAGCCCAAGUCCACAAGUGCAGCCAUCUUCAGUUUUCGGCCCAACCUUAAGCAGCCCAAUCUUGAAGCCGCCCGCGAAGCAAGUCAGCUCAAGCUUAGGCCCAAGUUUGGUUCAAGCCCAGAAAUUUCUGCGGGCUUGCGAGGCUUGUAGGCCCCGCCCGAGUGUCUGUCGGCGCCGCCGAAAGUUCUUGUUUCGGCCGCUGUCACGUCGCCGUCGUGGUGAUCCAAUCCCCACUUUUAAUCAAGUGAGUAGUCUCACUAAUCCUUGCUUAGUAGACUAAUGAUUUUUAAGGGUUGAUUAGAUUUAAUUAAGUGCAAUUAUGCGGUUAGAUUAGAAUGGAUUAGUGAUUAUUAGUUAAUUGCACUGCAUAUUAGUUAGGUGGUUAGUGUACUUAACUAGAGAACUGUCUAUACUAUUUAUUGAAUGCAUCUCGGGAUUUUUCCCGACUCUUCUCGGGCUUCAAUUAGGCAUUAUAGGCCUAAAUUGAAUUUUUAGUAUUUAUUUAUUAAUUUUCGAAAUUAAUUAUUUAAUUAAUUAUUUUUCAGAAAUUAGGCAAGGAUAGUCGACGACCGAAAUUUCGUGUUGAUCGUCGUGGUGUAGUCCGUUUAAUUAUUUGAGCUCUACGUUGUGCUGAAUCGAAUUAAUUGUGUAAUUUGAGGAAUUAUUCCUAAUUGAUUGAAAUUGAGUGAAAUUGAAUGAUUGAUUGGUGGAUGACCAAGUAUAGUUAGUUAGCAUUGACAAUGCUUUGAUGAGUUGUAAAGUACAGAAAAUCGUGAGGCUAAAUUGAGAAUAAUCUUGGCUGAGAUCGAUUAGGUACGAGAUAUAGACAUACGUGGUUUGGUGAUAAGGAAAUCAUUGAUGAAAACGAUGCCUUAAAGAAUGCACGAGUGCUGUCUAUUACUUGCAUCAGUAUAGACAUACGUGGUUCGGUGAUAAGGAAAUUACUGGUGAAAACGGUGCUUUAAAGAACGCACGACUGCUGUCUAUUGCAUGCCUCAUUACAGACAUACGUGGUUCGGUGAUUAAAAAUAUCACUGGUGACAAUGGCGCCUUAAAGAACACAUGAGUGCUAUCUAGUACAUACGUCACCAUGGCGAAGAUGACGCUCGAGAGCAUUACUGUAGCUCUGUGACUGAGAGUGCAAAUGAGAGGUUUUAUAUUGAGAAAUGAUUUGACCUGGAAAUGGUCCGACUGACAUGUAAUUGAUUGAUUGAGUGGAAGUGACCUUGAAUGGUCCGAUUGAUAUGUAAUAGACUAGGUUGAUUGAUCGAGAUAUCGAUCUGUGAUGUGAUUGCUAAGGUGCCUAUUGAAUUGUGCUAAUAUGCAGGUGGAAUCUAAGGCCAAGGUAAGUCUUCUAACCCGUGCAUGUAUAGGCAGCCCGGUUAGCAUAUUGGUUUCCUAAUCGAGUCUUAGUGUGGUAAAACUUGUUGAGACGUAGUCUCAUCUCAGUUGUGAGACAACAUUUCAGGACCCUGAUGAGGAGCCUAAGGAGAAAGAGAUCGAAGAGGAGUAACUAGAGGAGAACCUCGAUGAUGAUCCGAGUACGACCCGGAUCCCAUCAUCUUGUGAACCCUGUUCGUAGAUGGUUGAGUGUGAGAUUAGACCUUUGUGAAUAGUAUGGUAAAUUACUUUGAGGUGUGGUUGUAUACAAGUUUGGUUGUGAAAUCGUUUGGAGCACGGGAUAUGAAUCCGACCAAGCGUUUUACUGCGUCGAUGAGCAAACUGUGUGGGGUUGUUAAUCGCGGACAUGCACAAUGAGCAUUAGAAUAGAAGCAGCAAGGAGAUCUUCCCAAAUUCUCAAAAAAAAAUGAAAUUUCUUGGUGUUCCGUGGUCUGGCUAUUUUUUUUUCCAUCACUCUGGACUCUCUCGCAGACAGCGAUCUAGGCUCUCCUAGCAUUCCCUAGUGAACUUACUUUCUAUCUUGAAACAGGGUCGGCGAUGUAUUAAUUCUCUCUCUCUCUCCCUCUGUCUCUCUGUCUCUCUGUCAUAAAUUUACUAGAAGAUGUUAAAAUGUCCUAUGUCAUGUCCCGAAUUCCAUGAAGGUAGGGGUAAUGACAUAACCGUCCUUUCACCAAAAGAUAGGAUCUCAAACUAUACCUAAAAGUCAAGCUCCCAAAAGUGCUCUCAUAUUAUCAGUUGCUAAUUGAGGAACCCGAAAAAAUAAGGAACAAAAUGAGUGAACAAUCACAAUUUAGUAAGUGGUGCAUAUUUCUUCUAAACACAUUGAAUACCAACUAUGCACUUUACAAAACAAUGUUCAAAGCUAACUUAUCUUAAUCCUAGUAUAAUACACAUACAAUAAAAGAAUAAUUAUAUUGCUUUAACAUCUACAUAUCAGAAAACAUUUGUUUAAUCAAUAAUAUCAUAACAAACAACAAUGAUCUAAUCCAUUAAUCAAUCUUAUCAAUUCACAUAUCAAUGAUUUAAACCAUUGAUUAAUCUAAUCAAAUCACACAUCAAUGAUCAAUUUCAUCAACUAAUCUCAAAUUGCAUGUAAAUGGUCCAUUUCGUUGACCGAAUUCGUGCUCAAAUAUUAGCCAUGAUUAUGACAAGGAAACCAAACUCAUUUCUUGGCAAUGUCACCAGCUAUAUUGUCACUGUUUGGCCCAUUAGGAUAUAUUAAACUAACAUGCACAUACCCAUAAGCCCCACAAUGAGCUCAUACAUAUUAAGCACCAACACAAACUAGUAACCGGAUCCUUUACAAUUUGCAAGCAAAUUCGGAAUCAAAUUACAAAUGGUUUCACAAACCAAGCAUAUUAUCUUUCUCAUAGAAUACAUUUCACAAGGAGUAUAAAAGGAAGACGUUCCAGUUGUUCCUUUAAUAGCUCGAAUGAUCUUCCUAAUUGAUCCUGUCCAACGGGAGGAUUGGAAGAAUUCCUUUGGUAAGUGCCAAUGGGUAUGAUGACACAAAGGAGUAUAAAAGGAAGACGUUCCAGUUGUUUGAGGAAGUGCACGAGAGAAGAAUUCCAAAGUCUGAAGCUCUUUGUUUCUUAGUCAAUUCAUUUACUGAGUGAAAUCUUGUACGGAAAAGAGAGUCUAUAUUUUGAGAUACCUUGAGGAAGUGUGGUAGAGUAUCUACACUGUGGAAUCAAGGAAAAGUAUUGCUAUAACAUCUCUUUUGUUCAUAGUGAAAUCUAGCCAGUGGGCUGUCAGUGUAGAAGAAUGGACGUAGGCUUAAAAUAAGCCGAACCACUAUAAAUCUUGUGUUCAAUUCUCUCUUCCCUACUCUCUGCUUUACUUUGAUCAUAGUUCGAUUUGUUAACUAAAGGAGAGCUUCCUUUUUGUUGUUUGUCCAUUAUUGCUUUCAUAUCUCGAGAAAUUAUUUUUACACCUAUUCACCUCCCUCUAGGUGUUUAUACUAGCUAUAUCAAUUAGUAUUAGAGUUCGUGUACUCACUUUGUUUGAAGUGUUUUAUUUCAGAGUUAAAGAUCCAUGGUUAGUAUGCUAGUUCCAGGGCUGGUGGAAGGGCAAAGCAAUACCGGACCACCUUACUUUGAUGGAAAUGAUUACAACAUCUGGAAAAACAAGAUGAAAGCGUUUCUACGAUCAAAGGAUCCUAUGAAAUGGGACGUUGUAGAAAAAGAAAUCACUCCUAAAGCUGCAUCUGUCUCAGAGAGAGGAAAAGAAACUGUUGAGUCAAGUGAAAUGACUCAGGAAGAGAUAAUCAAGAGAUAGGCUCUUGAUGCAAAAGCAAUUUAUUCUUUAUAUUGUGCUUUAUCACCUACUGAAUAUAACAGAAUAUCUUCUUGUGUUACAGCUAAAGAAGUCUGAGAUAGAUUACACAUUACUUAUGAAGGAACUGAUCGAGUGAAAGAAACCAGAAUCAACAUUCUGCUCGGUCAAUAUGAAGCAUUCAAAAUGAAAUCUGGAGAAUCUAUUACAGACAUGUUUAGUCGUUUUACAGAGAUCGUGAAUGGCCUUGAAAAUCAAGGGCAACCAAUUUUUGAUCCCAUGAAAGUAAACAAGCUUCUGCGUGGACUCUCCAAGGAUUGGAAUCACAUAAAGACUUCAAUAAGAGAGACACAAAGAAUCAUGCUACUAUCUGUUGACGAGUUGGUCAGAACUCUUCAGUCUUAUGAAGAGGAACAAAUCAAUGAAGACGAAGAUCCUAAAGGUAAGAAAUCCAUUGUAUUAAAAUCCAAUAAUGAUUAUGAUGUCACAGAUUCUGAAGACAAUAUGGACGAUGAGGAGCUUGCUCUCAUGAUAAGAAGAUUCAAAAAACUGAACAAAAAAGGAAGAAGAUUCAAUCCAAAAAAACAGAGUUUUCAAAAGCAACAUACCAAGUCUGUUGAUGAUGAUGAAUCAAACAAAGAUGUAGUCUGCUUUGAAUGUAAGAAAAAGGGACACAUCGGACCCAACUGUUCUCUUCUGAGAAAGAAGAAAGGAAAAGCUGAAAAGUAUCGAAAGGCUUUUAAAGCAGAAACCUAGAGUGAUACAGAGUGUGAAGAAAGUGAUGAUGAUUAUGCCAAUAUAUGUCUAAUGGCACAAUCGGAUUCGGAUUCAAACUCCGAGACAGACUCAGAUUCAGACAGUGAAUUUGAGGUCACUAUCAAGAAAAAAGGUAAAAUGGUAUCUGGAUAGUGGAUGCUCAAGACAUAUGACAGGAGAUUCAAAUUGCUUCAUAAAGCUCGUUCAAGUAAAUGGUAGAAAAGUCUCAUUUGGAGGAAACAUUUGAGGAAAAAUUGUGGGAUUUGGAACUGUAAAGAUUGGAAACCUCACUAUAAGCAAUGUUUCCCUAGUGGAAGGACUCAACUACAAUCUGCUCAGUAUCAGUUAGCUGUGUGAUAUUGGUUUCAAAAUCAACUUUCAAGAGGGAAUAUGUUCAGGAACCAGUAAAGAUUCUACUCAGUCAUUCAUGGGCCGAAGACAUGGAAAUAUCUAUCUCUUGGAUGUGAAACUAGAUGAAUCGCAAUGUCUAAUCUCAAUUCAAGAUGAAGCGAACUUAUGGCACAGAAAGCUUGGGCACAUCAAUAUGAAGCAGAUAGCCAAAAUUUCAGCAAAGAAGCUUGUUCGUGGUCUACCCAAAUUAUCAUACUAAAAGUCUGAUCUAUGUACACCAUGCGUAUUGGGAAAUCAGGUAAGAAAUUCCUUUAAACCAAUAAAUCAAGUUUCCACUAAUCGUGUACUUCAGCUUCUGCAUAUGGAUCUCUUUGGACCAACCAGAACUCAGAGCAUUGGAGGUAAGAAAUAUUGCCUAGUAAUUGUGGAUGACUACUCACGAUUUACUUAGGUAUAUUUCCUAGCAAGUAAGUCUGAAACCUUCUCUUACUUUGAAAAGUUUGCUAAAAAGGUUCAAAAUGAAAAAGGGUAUGCUAUCUCGAGUAUAAGAACAGACCAUGGAGGUGAAUUUGAAAAUCAAGAUUUUACAAAAUUCUGUGAUGAAUCUGGUUUUCAGCAUGUAUUCUCCUCUCCAUAUACUCCAGAGCAAAAUGGAGUUGUGGAAAGAAAGAAUAGAUCGCUUCAAGAAAUGGCUAGAACUCUUUUAAUUGAAAGUAACAUCUCUUCACGAUUUUGGGCUGAAGCAGUUUCAACAGCAUGUUACAUUAUCAAUAGAGUUUUUCUAAAGCCUAUUAUGGAAAAAACCCUAUGAGUUAUUUAAAGGAAAGAAGCCUAUUGUUUAAUAUUUUCAUGUGUUCGGAUGCAAAUGCUUUAUAUUGAAAAAUGCAAAUGAUAGAGUUGGUAAGUUUGAAGAAAAAUCAAACGGAGGCAUCUUCCUUAGAUAUUCUACCUCAAACAAAGCCUACCGUCUAUAACAAGAAGAGUCAAUCUGUGGAGGAAUCAAUGAAUGUCAAAUUCCAGGAUUCUAUGCAAAAUGAAUUUGCUUAGACUCAUCUUGAAGAAUCUGAACCUGCUCCAGACUUUACAAAGUUUAAAUCUCAAGAAGCAACUCAGACUUUAAAAGACCAGCAACAAAUGGUUAUUGAAGAUUCAAAUGAAGGAAGUGCUCAUCAACCUGACAAAUCAACCAGUAACUGGAAGCAUAAGUCCAGUCAUCCCAAAGACCUCAUUAUUGGCGACAUUAAUGAAGAAAUUCGCACAAGAUCCAAAAGGCGCGAAGAGUCUAGUGCUGUGGCUCUUAUUUCUGAAAUAGAACCAAAAAGCAUAGAAGAAGCUUUAUCUGAUGAAAGCUGGAUUGAAGUUAUGUAAGAAGAACUCAGACAAUUCAGUAUUAAUGAUGUCUGGGAGUUGACUCAUAAACCAAAAGGUAAAUCUAUUAUUGGAGCUAAUUGGGUUUUCAGGAACAAGAUGAACGAAAAAGGAAAAGUCGUAAGAAACAAAGCAAGACUCGUGGCCAAUGGAUAUACGCAAGAAGAAGGGAUAGACUAUGACGAGACUUAUGCACUAGUAGCAAAGUUAGAAGCAAUUCGAUUAUUACUUGCUUUUGCUUGUUACAAGAAUUUCAGGUUAUUCCAAAUGGACGUCAAGAGUGCUUUCCUGAAUGAUUUAUCCAUGAGGAAGUCUAUGUGGAACAACCACCUGGGUUUGAAGACCCAAGGAAGCCAGACUCAGUAUUCAGACUGAAAAAAGCCUUGUAUGGUUUAAAGCAAGCACCUCGAGCUUGGUACGACAAGCUGAGUAAGUUUUUAAUUCAAAAUGGCUUUGAAAAAGGUAAAGUAGACACUACUCUGUUUAUCAAAAGAGAAAACAAAAGUUUUUUGCUUGUUCAAAUAUAUGUUGAUGAUAUCAUUUUUGGAUCCUCUAAUGAAAGUUUGUGCAAGAAAUUCUCUAAGUCUAUGCAGGAUGAAUUUGAAAUGAGCAUGAUGGGUGAACUAACAUUCUUUCUUGGACUUCAAGUGAAACAAUUGAAGCAAGGGACUUUUAUUCAUCAAGAAAAAUAUGCUAAUGAUCUUGUCAAAAAGUUUGGACUGGAAAAUUGCAAAAAGAUUGACAUACCAAUGUCAAGUUCCUUGAAGAUAGAGAAAGAUGAAGGAGGAAAGAAAGUUGACCAGAAGCUAUACAGGAGUAUCAUCGGUUCACUUCUUUAUCUUACUGUUUCUAGACCUGACAUUUUGUUCAGUGUUUGCAUUUGUGCUAGAUUUCAAGCAGACCCUAAAGAAUCUCAUCUAAGUGCUGCAAAGCGUAUUAUCAAAUACAUUGCUUCAACUUCAAGCAUCGGCCUUUGGUAUCCUAAAAAGGGAGACUUUACUCUUCUUGGAUACUCAGACACAGAUUUAGCCGGUUGCAGAGUUGAUAGAAAGAGCACCUCGGGUACCUGUUGGUUACUUGGAAGCAGGACAGUGUCUUGGUUUUCAAGAAAGCAAAAUAUAGUAGCUCUUUCUACAGUAGAGGCAGAGUAUGUAGUUCUCGGAAGUUGUUGUUCACAAAUACUAUGGAUAAAACAAUAGCUAAGAGACUUUGGAAUUGAAGAUUCAUGAACGGAGAUUAAUUGUGACAACACUAGUGCAAUCAAUCUUACCAAGAAUCCAAUUCUUCACUCAAGAGCAAAGCAUAUAGAGAUUCGACAUCACUUCAUUAGAGAUCAUGUUCAAAAUGAAGAAGUUUCGAUUCAGUUUGUUGACUCAAAGAACCAAUUGGCGGUUAUAUUUACGAAGUCUUUGGAGAAAAAUCAAUUUGAAAUCAUCCGUUCCAGACUCAACAUCUUGAAGCUUGAAGAAGUUAAAGUCUAGAGACUUUCAGUCUCAGACAAUCAUGGUUCUUGACUGUAAGUUAUUUUAUUUUCUCUUAAAUCUCGUAAAGGUACGAUCUUUUAUCCAUAUAUAAAUGAUUUAUACUAUUGUCAAUUUCCGUGAAAAGUGCAAUUUUUCCUUUUCAAAAAGAGUUAAUGGCAGUUAUCCAUUUUUUGAAAAAGGCAGUUAUUUUUUAAAAAUGUAUCUUUUAACAUUCCUUUACGACGUUUGCAUUUCCCUGUUUCAACUAAGCUAUAUACAGUCGGUUCCUCUUCACUUAACUCCAAAACCCUAAAAAGAACCGAUCUUCUAUUCAUGUCUUCCUCCCUUGUUUAAUCUUCAAAAAGUUGUCAUCUUUCUUGGGAAAGUCAAGCAAGGAAUCUUUCAAAGACUGAGAAAGAUGUCAUCUUCAAGAAAGUCUUCGAGGAUUGCAAGCAGGGGACCACGGCGAAUGAGUGAGGGGCCUACUCACUUUGAUCUCACCGAGGAAGAGGAGUCACCAAGUUAGCAGCAGAGCCCACAACAUUCUCAGCAGCGUCAUUCUCCACCAUCUAGUCCACAGGAUGUUGGUCAUCAACAAGAGGAAGAAAUCAUCAAAGACACAGAUCCUGUAAGAGUUCAAAGGACCUCUUUUAUUUAUAAACUUUACCGUGCUUUAUAGAGGAUUGGUACACCAUUGAACUACAUCGAUGAGUUUCUUAAGGACAAGGGAUAUGGGAAUGAGUACAUCUUUUUGCGAAAAAUGGAGCGUUUGGGAAUUGCUCCUAAAGGGUUGGUAGAAGAAACCCUUGCAAAUAUCCCAAGUGAUCCGCAUGUUGGGGGAUUUAAUUCGAUAGAUGGAAAUGAUGAUGACAGAUUGUACAACCAAUUUCAACCAAGAAUGGGUAUUGCGGCAAAAAUUCGAGGAAAAAGAACAGAGUUGUUUAGCUCGAAGGAACAGAAGGAUCUAUACUCCAAAUUGUUGAAGCGUGGGGUGAUAAACCCUAGGAGUGUAGAUUUUGAUUUCCUUGAUGCUGUGAAUGUAAAUUUGAGGGAAAAGUUCAGUUUUCUUCAACUUGAAUAGUUUUGUUCUGACACCACAGAAGCCUAUGCUCAAUUAACUGCAUAUUUCUAUUCAAAUCUUAGUUUCUUGGAUGCGAAUAGAAUCUCUUUCAGUGUCCGAGAUCAGGACUUUGUGGUGGAUGUGGAUAUUCUGGCGGAUGUGAUUAGGGUUGAGAGAGGGAGAUAUCAACCCAUCAGUGUCUCUAUAGCUCGUGCCACAUUGGAAUUUGUUAAAGACAGAAGGACAGAGGGAAGGAUUUCCUACUCAAGGAUGUGUGCGUUCAACAUUUUGCUUCACAAGAUUGUGAUUAAUUGCCUCAGACCGAAAUCAAUUUCCAAGACUGAUGUUUCUAACUCAGAGGCAAAGCUGAUGUACGCCAUCAAUGCUAGGAAAAAGUUUUCUCUUCCUCACACUAUACUGUUCCACAUGUAUAGAGCAGUGGUGAAGGACAAGGGCCAACUUCCUUAUCCAGGUCUUGUGUCAAAGAUAUUCAGACAUUUGAAUAUUCAACCUCCACAAAUUCUAUGUGUUCGACCGUGUGACAAAAUGGUGGUAGGACUGAAAAUGGUGUCCAAAAUGUGUCUGAAAGAACUCAACAAGGCGUUGGAGAAAUUUAAAGAGAAAACUCUUGUCAAAUCUCAUCAAGUCUCUUCUGCAGCGAAAAGAAAAGGGAAGGAGCCCAUGGUUACUCCAUCCAAAAAGAGAAAAGCUCUCAUUACUGAUGAAGAUGAUGAGGAUGACCUCACAAUUUCUGCUAUAGCAUUAAAGAAUCUGAGUCGUUCUGUUCCUGAAUCAAUGGAAUGAUAGGAGAAAGAAGCAGAGGAGAGAGAAUAACAGGAGAAAGAAGAAGAAGAGAGAGAAGCAGAGGAGAAGGAAGAAAAGGAGAAAGAAGCUGAAGAAAAAGAAGCAGAGGAGGAAAGGUUUGAAGAAGAAGAAGAAAGAUAAAAUCAAGAGGAAUGAGAGCAUGAGGAAAACUCUUCUACACCUGAAGCCAUGGAAACAGGGGAAGAUGGUGAGAACAAAGGAAUGUCCUCAUAUCCUGUUGUCAGUGAAGGAGUCAGCCGUUCUCAAGCAGAUCCAGAGGACAUCCAUGCCUCUCAAUUUCCUGAGGAGGAACAUGAUGCUUCAUCGCCACAUCGCCAAAUCUGCGUGAUUAUGCUGAAACCAGUACGCAGACUGAUAACUCAGCAGAUUUUCGCAGAAUCAUUAAUGUUCUUUUGGAAAUGCAGGGUCAGAUAUAUGCUUUGGAAUGUGAAGUUCAGAACUUGAAAAAUGCAGGACAAGCUUCUUCCGUUUCUUUAUCUGAUUAGAUCCAAGCCCUUGCUCUUCAGAUUCAAGCCAAUGCUAAAGGAGAAGAGGUGGAUCAACUGAAGGAAGAAUUGAAAAAGCUGGAAGGCAUCAUCCAGUCAAUUGGAGAUUUCCAGCUUGUUUGCAUUCCCAAGUAGACUUGACUCCAUUCUAUUCCCAUCUCAACCUUUUUUUAUGAUGACAAAAAGGGGGAGAGAUGCGAGAUUUGAAAUCUUUGAACUUUGAACUUAAACUUGUUAAAUUUUUUUUUUGUUUUGAUGUUUGACUUGUAUGUCCAUGUCUGGAUGUAGACUGACUGAAAGUGGAUUUGGAUUUGACUGCUGCUUAUAUUAAGUACUAUUGAUAUCUUAUGAAUGGCUUUACUCUUAUGCUAGACUAACCUAUUUUUUUGUGAUUGCAGAUUCUAGUGUUAUCAUUAAGCCAUUAAUCUUUAUGAGAUAUCCAUAUUUGCUUGAGUAAUGUUUUGCAGGUCAAAGUUAUUCAAAUCUGCAGAAAAGUUUUGUCACCAUCAAAAAGGGGGAGAUUGUUAGAGAAAUCCUUCUGAAAUAUUUUGAAGCUGACAGAACGUUUCUAUCAGUCUAGUAUGAAGAUUUGCAGACUCUAUUAUUAAAGUCUGAAGACCUCUGGACUGCCAGACUCAAUACUCAAAGUCUAUUCUCAUUGACAGUUUCUAAUCCGUUGAAGAAAGGCUCAGUGCUUCAUUAAGGAUUUGGCUUUAUCGACUGGAGUAGAUCUCUUGGCUUGAUAUGACAUAACAUAUUCCUUUAUUCAAAUCAAGAAUGAUUAAGAUCCGAUGAUUGGUGAAGUAUUCUUGGAAGGUUCUACUUAUGGAAACCAAGAUACUGAUUGUAUGGGCAUCAACAUGUUCCUUUAAUAGCUCGAAUAAUCUUCUUAAUUGAUUCUGUCCAACGGGAGGAUUGGAAGAAUUCAUUUGGUAAGUGGCAAUGGGUAUGAUGGCACAAAUGAGUAUAAAAGGAAGACGUUCCAGUUGUUCGAGGAAGUGCACGAGAGAAGAAUUCCAAAGUCUGAAGCUUUUUGAUUCUUAGUCAAUUCAUUUACUGAGCGAAAUCUUGUACGCAAAAGAGAGUCUAUAUUUUGAGAUACCUUGAGGAAGUGUGGUAGAGUAUCUACACUGUGGAAUCAAGGAAAAUCAUUGCUGUAACAUCUCUUUUGUUCAUAGUGAAAUCCAGCCAGUGGGCUGUCAGUGCAGAAGAGUGGACGUAGGCUUAGAAUAAGCCGAACCACUAUAAACCUUGUGUUCAAUUCUCUCUUCCCUUCUCUUUGCUUUACUUUGAUCAUAGUUCGAUUUGUUAACUAAAGGAGAGCUUCCAUACUGUUGUUUAUCCAGUAUUGCUUUCAUAUCUCGAGAAAUUAUUUUUACACCUAUUCAACCCCCUCUAGGUGCUUAUACUAGCUAUAUCACCUAAAACUAUUGGGCAAGAGUGAUUGUGUUAGUGUUUAUAUGGAUAGAGAGAUGUUCAAUUUAAGUUGGAGUUGAAACUAGAAACUCCUAAAGUUGAUGGUGUUAGCAUGUUAAUAAACACAAAUAGUGCUUAUAGAGAGGUAGAGCUUAUAGAACUGAUGGUUGCUAUAAUUGUUGGGUUUAACAAGGUGCAUGUUUGAUCUCUUGAUAGGUAUGCAUGCGAUGAUUUUGCUUUAUCUGCAGUUUAGGAAGUUGUGUAGGAAAAUCUUUGUGGAGAAGUUAAUAAAUGCAAGUGGAGUUGGGAUUCUAAUGAGGUCCAAGGUUAUGGCGAAGUUCAUGUGUAACUUGGAUUUCAAGGAUAUUGGUGGGGGUUGAGCCCAUAAGGAUCUAUGGGUGUGACAUCCCAAAUUUUCAGUCAUGUUUUCUAUUGAAUAAAUCAGGCAUUUUAUUGACGCGUCUAGAGAGUUGUUCUCAGAGUUGAUCACCCUCGAGAUAAUUGGACCAUAUGAGGAAAUCAUUAAGGAAUUUUAAUGCAAUAGACUUGAGAAUUUGACUAAGAAUCGAUUUCUCGAUCGUGUCCAUCUUUAGAGAUCAUUAUGGCACAGAUAUUAAUCAAUUCGAGAUCAGAGAUAUGUUGGUUUGACUAAGAUAUAUGGCAAAUAGUGGGUGACACCACUAAAUUUAAAAAUUCUCGUCAAUCAAUACUAGAUUGAUUUUCUUAUUGUUUUGGUACCAUGUGUCCGUAUUUAGAUCAUCGGGAUUUUCACGACAAUCGAGAGUCGCCAAUAAGUUAAGUAGGUUCAUAGUGGCUCGAAGAAAAUCGACCACGGGUCAUUUGUACUAAAAUUUUUUGAAAGUUACCUAGUAGCCUAAGCCACGCUAAUAACGCGUUGAAUGGAAAUUAACCGUGAAUUCAAGUUUGAUUUCAAAAAUUGAAAGUUCGGUCAUGUCACGAGCUAUUUUAGGAACGUCGACUCACCCUUUGAAGAAUUUUCAGAGAUCCCGAGAUUUUCACUGAAAAUCUAUUCAGAUGUUGCGGAAAAUUAGUAGAGAUUCAUAUGGGCUAAAUCAAUGGAAAUUAUGACUUCUAAGCUGAGCCUUUGAGUGCCAGGGACCUACAGGAAAUUGCUCAUGAUUUUUCUUCAAAGGGAUUGGACCUCGAUUUGGAGAAUUGGUGAAGAAAAUUAAGAGUAUUUGAGUGAAAUUCGGAACUAAGGUCUUGGGGCUGUAUUUUGGCACCAUUUGAGCUAAUUGUGGAUUGAUUUGCAAGAAAAUAAUUGGGAGACCAAAGAGGGUAGGUGUGUGGGUUUUUGGGGGACACCAUAGGAUAAGAUGGAAGACUUCCUGGACCCAUUUCAUGAUGAAAAUUGAGAUAUCUUACUAGAUUUUUUGCCUCUCUCCUUCGAUCUUUCUCAUCAGUGCGUUCAUUCUCUUCGACCGUUCCAUUCUCCCACGCUUCUAUUUUUCAUUUCCUCUUUUCCCAUCUCCUUUGCACGCCAUAGCCCCACCGAGCGAAACCUCCGCCGCUGGCAGCUUUGUCUUCUUCCCAAUUUCCUCUCAGCUGAAGUUCUCCCACGGAAGCUGCUUGUUUCUUCAGCUCCUCGCGGUCACGUCCCUCUCCGCGCGUCCAAGCCCACCGAUGGCCGAAUCCCCAUGCCUAGUCAACGAAAGAGUCCAACAAAAAUCGGUUUGUUGACCUCCUAGCCCCACACGAAGCCGCCCAUCUCCACGAAGCCUUGCUGAACAAAGCCCCACGCUGCCCUGUGUUCAACCGAUCAACCUAGCAAUUCCACCGACUCUCUGCAGUCGCGCCAGCACGCCCACGCUCCACCAAAUUUUGUCUCCUCAAGUCAACCCGCCAAGCAGAUUGUUGACUCCUCCACCGAAUCAAGCUGCAACUCCAUUCGGCUUCACGUUUAGCCGGCAGCCGCCACGAGCGAGGUAGCAGCCUUCAUCUUCGGCUUCUUCAAUCCAGCUCACCCAACGCCGCAGCUGCUUCUCUCACGCUAGUCCCCUUCGAUUGAAGCCGCGGCCCGUGAAUUCCAAUGAAGCCAAAGACAAGCCCAGCAGCUAUUUGGUCCAGUCCAUUUGAAACCUGACGAAUUCUGGCUUUGGAGCCCGUGAAUUUUGGCCUAGUCAAUCCGAAGUCAAGCCCUGCAGCAGCAAGCCCAUCUCAGCCCAUUUGAAGCCCAAGUCCACAAGUGCAGCCAUCUUCAGUUUUCGGCCCAACCUUAAGUAGCCCAAUCUUGAAGCCCAAGCCCGCGAAGCAAGUCAGUCCAAGCUCAGGCCCAAGUUUGGUUCAAGCCCAGAAAUUUUUGCGGGCUUGCGAGGCUUGUAGGCCCGGCCCGAGUGUCCGUCGAUGCCGCCGAAAGUUCUUGGUUCGGCCGCCGUUGCGGUGAUCCGGUCCCCACUUUUAAUCAAGUGAGUAAUGUCACUAAUCCUUGCUUAGUAGACUAAUGAUGCUUAAGGGUUAAUUAGAUUUAGUUAAGUGUAAUUAGGUGGUUAGAUUAGAAUGUAUUAGUGAUUAUUAGUUAAUUGCACUGUAUAUUAGUUAGGUGGUUAGUGUACUUAACUAGAGAACUGUCUAUACUAUUUAUUGAAUGCAUCUCGGGAUUUUUCCUGACUUUUCUCGAGCUUCAAUUAGGCAUUACGGGCCUAAAUUUGAUUUUUAGAAUUUAUUUAUUAAUUUUUGAAAUUAAUUAUUUAAUUAUUUAUUUUUCGAAAAUUACGCAAGGAUAGCUAACGACCGAAAUUUCGUGCUAAUCGUCGUGGUGCAGUCCGUUUAAUUAUUUGAGCUCUACGUUGUGCUGAAUCGAAUUAAUUGUGUAAUUUGAGGAAUUAUUCCUUAAUUGAUUGAAAUUGAGUGAAAUUGAAUGAUUGAUUGGUGGAUGACCAAGUAUAGUUAGUUAGCAUUGACAAUGCUUUGAUGAGUUGUAAAGUAGAGAAAAUCGUGAGGCUGAACUGAGAAUAAUCUUAGCUGAGAUCGAUUAGGUACGAGGUAUAGACAUACGUGGUUCGGUGAUAAGGAAAUCACUGAUGAAAAUAGCGCCUUAAAGAACGCACGAGUGCUGUCUAUUACUUGCAUCAGUAUAGGUAUAUGUGGUUCGGUGAUAAGGAAAUCACUGGUGAAAACGACGCUUUAAAGAAGGCACGACUGUUGUCUACUGCAUGCCUCAUUACGGACAUAUGUGGUUCGGUGAUUAAGAAUAUCACUGGUGAAAACGAUGCCUUAAAGAACACAUGAGUGGUGUCCAGUACAUAUGUCACCUUGGUAAAAACAAUGCCCAAGAGCAUUUACUAUAGCUUUGUGACUGAGAGUGCAAAUGGGAGGUUUUAUAUUGAGAAAUGAUUUAACCUGGAAAUGGUCCGACUGACAUGUAAUCGACAAGGUCGAUUGAUCAAUGAUUUGAUCCGUUGUCAUGAAUUGAUUGAUUGAGUGUCACGACCCGAACCCCGGGCACAUGCACAUCCCUCAAUGGUCGAUUUUAAAUUUGCAACAUCCCAGGAAUUGUUGCCGACCCAUUCAUUUAUUUUGCACAUGCGGAAACGUAAAACAAUCUCCAUACAACAAAACAGUGGGAUAGAAACGUAGGAUAUUAUUUUUCACAAACCACAACUACAACAUCACAGUACUUAUACAUAUAGACUAGUUUAAUACCCCAAGAUCUGAUACAAAAAAAGUGAAGCUGUUUGAUUACCUACUAACUAAGCUUCUAUCUAUAAGACUGGGGUUUACUAUUACAAUACCAUAUUUCUCAAUAUCUCGGGGGUGAGCUGUCACCCUACAUCCAGUCUUGACGGAAAACCCGUCAUCACUUGGAAGGAGAUAACGAGAGUCCUAUUCCUCCUUUACUGCAACCGACUGUACACGACCUAGCCUUCCUCCAUUUAGGGACCUGAAAAAUGUUAGCCCACUAAGGGGUGAGAUCACAUCUCAGCGAGUAAAUCUCCUAAUUCCAGAUUAGGUGAAGGGUACAUCCAGCAUGCAAUCUAAUCACAUUUCUUACCACUCUUUUAACACCAGCAAGUUCCUGCAUAUUAGCAUCAAAUAAAAUAUUCCUAAUAGUGUCAAGUUCACACAUCACAGGAAUACUUUAGCAUAAGCAUAUGCAAUGGCGUGAAUAUCCAUGUAAGCAUACAGGCCACAGUCAAUGCAACAGAUAACAAUCUUCCGGUAAAAUCGGGCAUCUCGUGUGUCACAAAUGAUGUCAAUGCUCAGAUAACAGUCUUCCGGUAUAACCGGGCAUCGCCUCGCACCGUCGAGCGCGGCAUCGUCUACAUCUAGACGGCAUUCCAUAUAGGAGCAUCGGUCCAGCCUCCACUGCGACCGGCAUCCGUUGACGUGGGGCAUUCCCGAAGGAGCAUCGUCCGGCCCAAAGGCACGUGACGGAAUCAUGUCGUGAAUGCAUAUGAUCGAUGUCACAUUUCAAUAAUAAAUUAUAUACAGCAUCCAUAGCAUCAAUUGAUCAAUUUCGUAGCAAGAAUACUUCAAAACAACCAUACAUUCUUACUAGCCCAAAUUCACAGAAAACUGUCCAAUUACGUUCUUCCAAAUUCGAAGUCAGAAACCCACUCAUAUGAACUCGAAAAAUUCUCAAAUUUGGACACGUGUUAGAAAACAUAAAAAGGAACAUUUUUCAUGAAGACGCCAAGAUCCAAAUAUCUCUGGAUUCGGCCCAGAAAUUCUUUCUAUCCAGCACAAAAAUCGGAUCCAGUUCCAGAGAGCCAAACCCAUCGAAAUCAGUUUGUUUUUGGGUCGAAACAUGCUUCGUUUGACUUGAAAUUUAAUUAUGUUAAACUAAAAGUUAUAAAAAACAACUUUCAUGAAGGAACCAAUUGGAAAUUCGACCUCUAAAAGUCAUUAACAGCCCUCGGAAUUAUAAUAAGUCACGGAUUUCAAAACUGUCCGAUUACUGUUCCGAGGAUGACGUCAUUAAAAUCGUCAUCUUUUUAGUUUCUAAAAAUUAAGAGAAAAAUAUAUGUUAUUAUUUAAGAUGUUCACAACGUUUCUUCAGAACAAAAUCAUUUCAAAAUCGUAACACAAAGUUGUCUACAAAAUUAGCAAAACACACAUGUUCUAGAAACUGUUUCAGUAAUUAACUACUGUUCUAGUCCGAAUCUUCCACCACGACUUUUGUUUUGCUCUCUAAACCUUAUCUAUGCUUUUCUAUGUCUAUCAUAACAUCCCUAACAAACAUCUAUCCAUAUAUAACGUCAUCUACAUAAUUUUAACUUGUACAAAUUCCUAAUAGAGGUACUCAACCCCUAGUCCAAAUUUAGAAGACAACUCACCUAAUCACAGCUAACGGCGGCUCUCGUUGGUGCUUGAACAGCAACACAGAGAUCAGCCUUGAUCCUCUUGGUGAUAGUGUUGAGCCGAAACCGCAGAAGAUUGUGAAGUGGUAUGAUGGCAACGGCAACACACAAACUUAUAAAGUUUUUGGUAGAGGAAACUAAGUAUGGAGUUUGGUCGGUUGUGUGGUUCUUGUGCGGGUGAGGGGGGUUUUUCCUCACUGAAACUAUACGACUUAUAUUUAAAAACCAUGGUGGUAGGCGGUUGUCGUUUAUGUGGGUCCAAGAAUUUUUGGUAACGUCACGUUCACGUCUUGGUUUGUUUUGUUUCUUAGUCUCCGGUUUGUCGUUCAAGAGGAAGCAAAAAUGGAAGUAGCACGUUCAAGGGAAAAGAAAACAACGGCUUGUACGUUGAAAAAGACAAGGAAGAAGAAUAAACUAAGAGAAAGAAAGGGAAAGAUGGAAACUGCCGUGUAAAAUACAGCAGGCAGACUUACAGCAAACAGACUUCUAUGCGUAAGAAAAAGGAUGGGGAAGGAGAGUGUAAAUUGAUGGGAAGUUUCAUUGAAGUUUCCUUCAGCCUUUUGCCUAAUUUUCCAUGGAAACUUUGGCCACCCAUCACCCUCAUAGGCCCCACCAAGUUUCCAACAUUGUUUCUUCUAGAGGAGAUGAAAGAAAAGGUUGGAAAUCUACGUAAAUUGCUUAAUCCGAAUUUUGAAGUGAUUCUCAUAGUCUUUUCCCAUGGAGAAUGAGUUCCUUUCCUUAUCAAGUGAUCCCCCUAUCUUUUCCAAGUCAAUUUCCAUUAAAUACCAAGGAAAUUGAGGUGAGGUUGUAGGAGAGAGGGAUUCCUACGAAUUUCUUUUUCUUUGAGAAGACUUCUCUUCUUUAUUUAAUUACCAAUCUAACAUCCCAUUCAAUAGGGUCAAGUCCUUUAGUAACCAAUUAUAAUACCUCUUAAAUUGUUUCACAAUAGAGGUCUUAAAAUCCUACUUAAAAUGUGGUAAUUCCCUUGCUCUUCUAAUUUGCUGAUCUUGCAUAUUUCGUGAACAAUUCUCAUCAUCCAUAAAUUUUGAGAAGACGCAACCAUGUCCUUGGGAUGAAUUGUGACACGUGACAAUUCUUAAUUUCUGUAAUCGACAUCAUUUCAUCGGUUAAUUUCAGUCAAGAUGUGAUUUUUAGCACAACUUAAACUAUCGGUUAGUUUUUGAGAACUUUUGGUGCACUGACCCGUGGUUGAUUAUUCCCGAGCCACGAUAUAUAUUUUCGACGCAUUAGCAACUUUCGAUUGUCGUGAAAAAUCUCGAGGUUUCAAUUACGAGCACAGGGUACCAAAACAACAGAAAAAUCGGUUUAGUGCCGAUCGACGAGAAAUUGGUAAUUAGUUGGAAUCACCCAAUCCUAAUUUUAUUUCUAUCGAAUCGAUCUAUUUUCGAUUUCUGAUAGAUUUUCGACUGUGCCGAACUGAUCCUUGUAGACUAACACGGUCGAGCAGUCGAUUCAUGGUCGAAUUUUCAAGUCUGUUGCAUCAAAAUUCUUUAAUAACUUUCCCGAUUAGUCAAGUUAUCUCAUGAGUGAUCAGCUCAGAGAAUAGCGCUAUAGGCACGUCGACGAAAAGCCCGAAUUAUUUAAUUGAAGACAGAAGCGAAAAAUCAGACUGUCACAUUGAGUGGAAGUGACCUUGAAUGGUCCGAUUGACAUGUAAUCGACUAGGUCGAUUGAUCAAGAUAUUGAUCUGUGAUGUGAUUGCUAAGGUGCCUAUUGAAUUGUGCUAAUAUGCAGGUGGAAUCUGAGGCCAAGGUAAGUCUUCUAACCCGUGCGUGUAUAGGCAGCCCGGUUAGCAUAUUGGUUUCCUAAUCGAGUAUUAGUGAGGUAAAACUUGCUGAGACGUAGUCUCAUCUCGGUUGUGGGACAACAUUUCAGGACCCUGAUGAGGAGCCUAAGGAGAAAGAGAUUGAAGAGGAGUAACUAGAGGAGAAUCCCGAUGAUGAUCCGAGUAUGACUGGGAUCCCAUCAUCUUUGUGAACCCUGUUUGUAGAUGGUUGAGUGUGAGAUUAGACCUUUGUGAAUAGUAUGGUAAAUUACUUUGAAGUGUGGUUGUAUAAAAGUUUGGUUGUGAAUUUCGUUAUGAAAAAUAUGGCCCUACUUUUCUAUCCUAUUGUUUUAUUGUCUGGGGAUUAUAAUUGCUUCUGCAUGUGCAUAUUAAAACGAAAAAAGGGUUGGCGAUACGUAGUCCUGGGAUAUUGCUUUUAAAAUCAUCCAAAGGUAAGGGAUGUGUGCGUGCCUGAGGAUCGGGUUGUGACAAUAGGAGAGUAGCAGUGAAGUUCGGAAUCAAACAAAACGGUUGUGACUUGACUCAAAUAUCAAGCCAAGGUAAAUAUUGUUGAAAAUAUAUUUUGAGUUUGAGCUUGAAAAGGAACAUGUUCCAUAAUUUGAGUUGGUUUCUACUUUAAGUAGUUUCCUAUUUUUUCUAGGUUUUCUAAAAGGGAUUUCCUAUUUUGGAUCUAACCUUGUCUAUGUAUAAGAAGUGUUGCUUUGUGAAGAGCAUCCAAAAGGUUGCUUCUUUGUGAAUCACACCUUGACACAAUCCAAGUGUAUUAAAGCCAAUAAAUUAUGUGGUAACUAUUGUACCCCUAGAUCAGCUCAUUAAAUUUUUGUCCACUUUGGCCCAUCUCAUAUGAAAUCUCAAGAUUUUGUUCUUCGGCAUGCAGGUGAACAUUUUCUUAGGAGAUCACUCAUCUUAAUAGUGCUAUCCCUUAAGCAUGCUUAAUGUUAUGUUAUGUCACAGCUAUCUUAUAAGUUAAUUCCCAUUUUACAUAUAUCCCAAGAACACUCUCCCCCUAUUCAGGGCGCAAUCUGAUUCACUUUUGUGUCAUUUUCCAUACUAAAAGCUUAUCAAGAGCCAUUUAUUUUCUGGGCCCCUUGACAUCAAUAAUCACUCUUUGCUUCAUUGGAUUGGGUUGUUACAAUAAGAUUUUAGUGAGGAAUUGUUAGUGCUAAACAACGUGAGGAUUAUUUGGUGCAAUUGGGGAUGGUAAACACUGAGAGCGGUUGGGUGACUCAAAUAUGAUUGGAAUCUACAUUAUAUCGUUUAAUCUUCAAUGGAAUUUCAUGUUGCUCUCCCUAUGGAUGUUGGUUACAUUGUCCAAACUAUCUAAAUCAAUUUCCGAUUUAUUAUUUUAUUUUGUUUAUUUUGCCGUUCGAUUUUUAUUUUAUUUUUUAUUUUCUACAACCAAAAAUUUGUCCAAAGGGUAUGUUUUUAUAGAGGUUCAGUUGUUUUGAUGAAAAUGAUCAGCAUAGUGUUAGUUAGAAGAGUUCUUCUACAAUCUAUGUGAAAUACUAAUGGAUCUAUGCAUCUUGUGUGCAAGUACAAAUUUUAAUAAAGUGAUAAUUGCAUUGACCAGUUUUGGGAUUGUUUGGUAACAUUCCCAUUUCGAAAAAAUACAUAUAUAUAUUUUCAGAAUUAGUCUUUUUUUUUUGUACUCCCUAAAACAAUUUCUGAGUAAAAUAACCAAAAAAAAAAAAAAGGAGAAACGUUGACACGUGCGCUCUUAAUGUUCUGAUUUCCUCUGGAGUAUAAUAAUGUUAAUGACAAUCGCUGCAUUCACACAAGUCUUCAGCUCAUGUUGGUGCUAGCGCUAUUGGUGUUUGUUUGAUUUCUGUCGUUUGACUUCAAUUUUUUUUCCCUAAAUGUCAAAAGGUGGUCUUUGUCUCCACUAUCUUUAAAUAUUCGCACAUUGGAUUGAUCCCAUCGAAAAACUUAUCCAAAACCCUCACUAUGAGGUACUAGUACUCCUCCAAGAGGGGAGGGAGUCUUUAGUCAAAUCAAGAAACAAAGAUGAAACACUUAUUUCUUCGAAUCUUUUUCUAUUUCUACUCUUGCACUAGUCUUUAGUGCUCCUAGCCUGUUUCUCAUCUUGUUCCUCAUCCUUGCAUUAGAACAUCUUGUACCAGCUAUCGUACUCUCUCAUAACUCGUCAUGUCCUACAUUAACCAAUCACUCACUCAAGUAAAAAGAUAGGACCUAGACCCCGGAAAGUGAUCUUUUGUUGGAUUAGAUUAUCCCACUCGAAUAACAUAAAAAGAGUGAUUCAUCCCUCUCUUACUCUCGCUCUUGCUCUCACUCACAUAAACCGCAACACGCCCCAACGGCUUCAAACGGCGAUCAUAGUAAGGUGACUAGCUUGGCUAUAUCUACAACCGCUGGCCUCAUGAUCGAGCUUUUGUUUCUAGCUAUAUAUUUGAUGUUACUAUAAAAAAUUGUGAAUGUUGAGCCUUUAUAUCAUACCGCAUCCAAUUCUGUGCAAUUUCUUAUUCCAUUGACCAAAUGAAGAUUGAAAGACAUAAUACAAAAAUCAUAUAAUGCAUUGAAUUUCUAAUAGAUAAAUGUGAUUUUGGGUAGGAUUUUUCCUGAGUUUAUGGUAUUUUCUUGUAAAUAUGUCAUUCUUUUCCUUUGCCAUUUAAGUAGGCGUUUGGUAACAUUUCUGUUAAAAAAUAACGGGGAAUAAUUUUUUAAUAGAAGAACGCGUUUAGUAAACUUGUAUAAUUUUUAUUCCGGAAAUAGAAAAAGAACAGAAACACAUUUAGUAAACUUGUAUAAUUUCUUUUAAUUUUUUAAAUAUUUUUUAAUUUAUUUUUCCUUUUUUCUUUUUUCUUUGUUUUGGCUGGUCGCCAACCUCGGCCAUUGUCGACGACUGGCCGACGAGGGCCGACAGCCUCGCCUAGCCAUGGCAAGGCUCGCUGGCCUCCAUCAAGGUCACCGACCCUCGACGACCGGUCCCCAGUCAUGGCUGAGGCUGGCGACUGACCAAAGAAAAAAGAAAGAAAAUGAAAAAGUAGGAGAGAGAAACAAUUUUUCUCGGGAGCAAGAAAUGAGUUUUUCUUGUUUAUUGUUUCUAUUUUCAGGAACAAAAAUAUAAACAAAAGCGAUUCUAUCUUUUUUUUUGUUCCUUAAAAUGAAAGAAUUGAAAUUGUGUUCUGGGAAAAAAAAAAACAAAAGAAGAGGACAAAAAGGAGCCAUGGGUCAAUGAAAUUGAGGUGGGACCGAGUGUUGCCGAAGAAGAAAGGAGGGGAUAAGACCGCAGGAGGGUGUGUCGGCUGAAGGAAUAAGGAACGUGCGAAGCAUUGAGAAAAAGACAGGGAGAGAUGUGAUCGUAAAUGGAUAGGAAGAAGGGGGCCCCAUUGGUCAACAUUUAAACAAAUGAAAGACCAAAGCAAAGGGAAAUUAAAGCAAUGUGAGGACCGCAGGGGUGUGCGUGCGUGGGUCCAAGAAUAAGAAAGAGAAAAUAAAACAAAACCAAUUUAUAAUUUUGCUCAACUUCAACAUUUUAACAAUCGGUCAUCCCGGGGUCCAAUUCUUUACCAAUUACAAAAUUUGAAGUGUCAAUGAAGACCGAGAUGAGUCGGUUUUUUCAUCUCACGAAUUUCCUUCAAAUCCAAACUCUCUUUCAUUUUCUUUUGAAAUCCGAUUUUCUGAACAAACUUCUCCGAUUGAGAUCCGAUUUGUUACAGAAAAAGCCCACAAAAUUUCCUUUCACCUAUUCACUCACACUAGUUGCCAAAAAUCCCUUCAAAUAGGUCGGUCCAAAUUUUUGUUAGUUUUCCGAAUCGUCCAUUCGAUUUUCUAUAAAACUCCCGAACUCGCCGGAAAUUCUUCGAAAGGUGAGUCAGCGUUCCUAGAAUGAUUCAUGACAGGACUUCCAAUUUCUGAAAUCAAAUUCAAAUUUGUGGUUAUUUUCAAUCAAACUCGCUUUUAGUGUGACUUUACUUACUGGGUAGUUUUUAGGAAUUUUUGGUACAAUUGAUCUGUGGUCGAUUUUCUUCGAAUCACGAUGAACCCAUAUGACACAUUGACGACUGUUGGUGGUUGUGAAAAUCUCGAGGUUUCAAAUACGAACACAGGGUACCAAAAAUGGUAGAAAAUUGUUUUAGUACCGAUCGACAAGAAUUUUGCAAUCAGGUGGAAUCACCCACACUUUGAUUGUCAUCUUAGUCGAAUCGACCUAUCCCCGGUCUUUCAUCAAAUUUUAAUUAUGCCGUAAUGAUCAUUGCAGACUUGCACGGUUGAGUCGCCGACUCAUGGUCAAAUUCUCAAGUCUAUUGUAUUUAAAAUCCUUUAAUGGCUUCACCAAAUAGGUCAAUUAUCUCAUGAGUGGCCACCUCAGAGAAAAACACUAUAGUCACAUUGAUGAAAGGCCCGAUUUAUCCAAUCGAAAUAAGAACUUGAAAAUCAGGAUGUCACACUAUACAAAUUACAUUUUGUGAGACUAGGUCAGCUCUGCUCAAGUGUUAUCUGCUCAAGUCUUCUUACAAGACUAGUUGACAUCGAGCGCCCAUUGACAGUGAGCUGGUUUUGAUCCGUGUUCAAUAGAAUCAACAUACUGCGAUAAAUUUGUCCAAAGAGCACGGUUUUAGUGAUGUUUGGCCCUAAUUAAACGAUCGGCAUGCUGUUAGAUGAGUUGCCUUGCGAUUUAUAUGGAAUAUCGCUGUAUCUACCCGUCUCCUAUGCAAGUACAAAUUAAAACAAGUGAUAACGGCAAAGGCUUUGAAUGUACACAAGCACGUGACCUGCGGGAGCACACGUGCGCUCACUUGCAUGCUUAGCACCAUCCAAAAUCUUAAAUGUUGAAUUUACUUUAUUGAGGAGUUCAAAAUGUGGCUUAUUUUAUGGAUUGAAUCCAUCAAAAAGCUCAUCCAAAAACCUAACCGUGAGGAACCACUCAAGAGGAGCCUUUUAUCAAAUCUGAGAAACAAGUACUCCUUUUUGGUUAGACCUCUUUUAGUGCGAUCGUGGUGUUGGCCCCUCUUAGUAAAUCCUGCACCUGCUCACUGCACUCUCAUAACUCACAUAGGUCCCAAAAGAACCAAAUCCUUCGCUCGAGGAAGAUGGAAUUGUGACCUCGGCAACGAGUGCCGCAUCAUUGGGAAAUCGUUUGGAGCACGGGAUAUGAAUCCGACCAAGCGUUUUACUGCGUCGAUGAGCAAACUGUGUCGGGUUGUUAAUCGCGGACAUGCACAAUGAGCAUUAGAAUAGAAGCAGCAAGGAGAUCUUCCCAAAUUCUCAAAAAACAUGAAAUUUGUUGGUGUUCCGUGGUCUGGCUAUUUUUUUUUUCCAUCACUCUGGACUCUCUCGCAGACAGCAAUCUAGGCUCUCCUAGCAUUCCCUAGUGAACUUACUUUCUAUCUUGAAACAGGGUCGGCGAUGUAUUAAUUCUCUCUCUCUCUCCCUCUGUCUCUCUGUCUCUCUAUCAUAAAUUUCCUAGAAGAUGUUAAAAUGUCCUAUGUCACGUCCCGAAUUCCACGAAGGUAGGGGUAAUGACAUAAUCGUCCUUUCACCAAAAGAUAGGAUCUCAAACUAUACCUAAAAGUCAAGCUCCCAAAAGUGCUCUUGUAUUAUCGGUCGCUAAUUGAGGAACCCAAAAAAAUAAGGAAGGAAAUGAGUGAACAAUCACAUUUUAGUAAGUAGUGCAUAUUUCUUCUAAACAAAUUGAAUAUCAAUUAUGCACUUUACAAAACAAUGUUCAAAGCUCACUUAUCUUAAUCCUAGUAUAAUACACAUACAAUAUAAGAAUAAUUAUAUUGCUUUAACAUCUACAUAUCAGAAAACAUUUGUCUAAUCAAUAAUAUUAUAACAAACAACAAUGAUCUAAUCCUUUAAUGAAUCUUAUCAAUUCACAUGUCAAUGGUUUAAACCAUUGAUUAAUCUCAACAAAUCACACAUCAAUGAUCCAUUCCAUCAACUAAUCUCAAAUUGCAUGUAAAUGGUCCAUUUUGUUGACUGAAUUUGUGCUCAAAUAUUAGCCAUGAUUAUGCAUAACACCUCGUGACAAGGCAACAAACUCAUUUCUUGGCAAUGUCACCACCUAUAUUGUCACCGCUUGGCCUAUUAGGAUAUAUUAAACUAACAUGCACAUACCCAUAAGCCCCACAAUGAGCUCAUACAUAUUAAGCACCAACACAAACUAGUAACAGGAUCCUUUACAAUUUGCAAGCAAAUUCGGAAUCAAAUUACAAAUGGUUUCACAAACCAAGCAUAUUAUCUUCCUCAUAGAAUACAUUUCACAAGGCAUUUCUUAGACUAUUUCAAAAUCCAUUUCAUUAACUAGGUUCACAAUGUAUAUAUAUAACAUUUCGCAACAUGUUUCAUAAUCAUUCUCAACUGCCUAGUAAAUGCCUGAUCUAGAUUUUUAUGCAACAAACAUGCUUUUUCAUAACUCGUAAUAUAUUGAAUCUCUAUAACUUUCAAGACAUAAGUUCACAAAUUCAUAAAAUAGAUAUCAUCAUUUAACCCACAACCAACUAUUCGCAUCAAUGAUCAUGUAAUCUUAACAAUUAGACAAAAUAAACAUUGAAACCAGUAAGAAUACCUCAACUACAAAUUGGUUAAACUAUGACUCCUAUGCACUAACAAACAACAUACUAUUCACGUUGAGGUUCUCAUAAUCCUAAAAAUUAAACAAGAAUCAAGUUUAAAACCUAAUAAAACUCUACCUUAACUACGAAUUGGCUAAAUUAUUCUUAAAGGCUAACAAAAUGACUUCUAUGCGCUAACAAAUCGAUCGCUUGAACUGAUUAUUCACGCUUAAACGUAAUGCGAAACAAAACCCUAAAAUUCCACUCCUACAAAACUGUUGCUCCAAAUUGAGUCCUAUCAAAACCCACAACUCUAUGACACUAUAGUCCACUAUUUCCAUAAAAUCUCAUAACUUGACAACUUAAAAAUUGGACUUCAUAGUUUGAUUCCCUAAACUUUGAAUUUGUGCCUAACCUCGAAAGUUACUCCGAUUGAAUGAAUACAAGACAUGAAUCCUUACUGGGCAAUGCAAUUUGGGAUUGAAUCGAUGUGUUAUGGUGUCUGCAUUGCAUACGUGGAAUCCCUUUUCUUUCUAUUCUUCUUCCCUUAUUUUCUUUCUCUCCCUUUUUUUGCAUUGCUUUCAGUCCUCUCUCUAAAAUCAAUCUCCUAACACACAAUGUUCUAGUUUCCCAACUAAUCAGGUCAAAUUGGAAUCAAUCUUGUAAGAGAUUGGUAGGGUUUAAACAUUCACUGACGAAGAUGAAAAGCGGGGAAAGAGAGAGGUCAAAAUCUCAAUCAUUGAUCGACGGAUCGAAAUGCACGCCAUACGAUUCAGCAACAUUAAGUUUAAGGCCAACCGAUAGCAGGGAUCGAAUUGCUUGGGGAGCACCUAGUUACUGUUAGGAGAUUUUCCUGUCUAAUCUUUGGAAGGACAUGGUUGUCAUGUUUCUAGCUCGGGAAGUUCGGUACCGUCUUCAAUCGAGGGAAUUGGGUUAACUUGUGGUUGAGGACAGUGCCGUAAGGCAUGUUAACCCAACUGUGGGCAUUUAACCCACCCUCACUCACUCUGUCUACCUGGUAGUAGCCAAAAUCGAAGUCCUGAUGUGGUGUUUACCUUCACUACCGUAAGGCGUGUUAACCCAACUGUGGGCACUUAACCCACCCUUACUCACUCUGUUUACCCGGUAGUAGCCAAAAUUGAAGUCUUGAUGUGAUGUUUACCUUCACCACCGUAAGGCGUGUUAACCCAAUUGUGGGCAUUUAACCCACCCUUACUCACUCUGUCUACCCAGUAGAAGCCAAAAUCGAAAUCCUGAUGUGGUGUUUACCUUCACCACCGUGAGGCCUCCUAAUUGCCUGUCUACAUUUGUCUUCCCGACAGAGAGGGAAUAGGAGGACAGCGUGGGGUUUCUCAUCCUAGGGUGGUUCUCCCUGCCUAUUUUCUCCGUGAGCCCUUUGAGGAUCUGCUCAGGUCCAAGAUACCUAAUCUCUUGCGGUGCUCUUUAUGCCACUCUUACCUCUCCUUUUUUUUUUUUUUUUUCCGAAUCUAAUGUCAGAGCUUCAAUCCUAACCCUUAUUCAAUGCUGUUCGGCGGACCUCCCCUUCAACGGUAAGAAAGGUCGCUGGACCCCCGCCAAGUUUUGCCAGCUGGACAUAGGGUCGAUCCUCCAAUUGUUGCACAAAAUCUCAGGUCGCGAUCAAACGACGCCGACUGCUGGUCCUAAACGAACAAAUCUUGUCUCAACACAUGCCCAAGAGUUCGUUAAGCUGUGGAACCUCUUUUUGGAUUAAUCUGCUAGAACUAGCUACUGCGCGAGUUCUAGAUUUCACCCUAGGCCUCAUCUACCCGCAUUAUUCGAACCCUAAGCCUUGGCGGUAUUUUGGCCUGUUAGGUAACUAUCACCAUCGAUUUGGCAGACCCCGGAGCCUUCACUAGAAUCGUGGGCAUGCACGGUGAGGAUAUAGCCUUUCCAAGUGUCGCAAAAGGAGCGUGUAGAAAGCACAGCUCCAUAAUCACCUUAGGAAAACCUCCCCUCUCCAUUCUCCCGAAAAAGCAUGAAGCUGCGGGCGCUUUGCGGUCCUCCUCUGUGUCUUCUCCUCUGCCUUCUCUUCCAGUCUGGACUGUCCCAAACGGUGGUCAAGUCUCUUCCCGGAUUGCCUGGAGACCUCCCUUUUCAUCUCGAAACCGGGUCAGUGACAUUCCCUUUCACUUUUUUGUGCUGUUGUCCUUAUCUCUCUCUUCUCUCUCUAUCUCUCUCGGUACUUGUUUGAAUCUUUGCAUGUUAUGACUGAUUCUCUCCCCCAAUUUUUUAUAAUUGUUUUAGAUACAUUGGAGUUGGGGAGUUGGAUGAUGUUCAACUUUUUUAUUACUUUGUCGAGUCGGAGAGGAGCCCAAGAGACGACCAUCUGGUGCUAUGGCUCACCGGCGGCCCCGGUUGCUCUGCUCUCUCCGGACUGAUUUACGAGAUCGGUGAGUCCUCCUCUGAACCUUUGCCUUUGCCAAAACACGGGUCAAGAGAAACCGAGCCGAGCUUGUCGGAUGUGGUGGUCACCUGCCGAGAGUGAAAUCUAACAUUCCCAAUUUUCAUGGUCACCAUCUCACUGUCUUAAUCAACUAAUACCCUUUUCUUUGCAAAUCGAACUCCAUACUCAUGAGAGGUUGAUUUUGAGGCUUCAUGCCGAACAAGAUUGUAGCUGACAACCAAGUGUUAGAAAUCAAUUACUACUUUCCUAGGUGAAUAGUUACUAUAUUACGUCUCUUAUGUCAAUGACACAAAGGGGAUAUUAAAUAAAUGUUCAUUAAGAGACAAUGACAUUUCUUCUUGGUUCAAAAAGUAAGUUCAUGUGGCACUUGAAUUUUGCAUGCCGUCGCAUGCAAAAGCUGAUUUCAGCAUGAUAAAUGGACAUGUCAUUUUGAAAUUUUAUGUAUUCUAAUGCGGAUGUUCAUUACAUGUAAUGUAGGUCCAUUUACGUUCAAUUACGAGAAUUCUUCUAGAUUCAGACCAACACUCAAAUUUAAUGAUUAUUCAUGGACAAAGGUAACCAGAAAUGAUUUAUGCUACAUGAACCUCUUAAUUUGAUUGGACAACUGUUGAGUAUACCAUAUUUCUGGUCUUAUAUGUUAGCAAGUCAUUCACGAUUAGCUUGCUCACUAUACAGGUGGCGAAUAUUAUAUUCUUAGAUCAGCCUGUUCGAACUGGAUUUUCUUAUGCUAAUAAUUGGGAAAGCUAUAAUAUAAACGACAACAUUUCGGUCGCAGAAUCUUACGAAUUUCUAAGGAAGGUAAAGUCAAAAAGAGAAUUUUUAUAUAAAGGAGAGUCUCUACAUAAUUAAUACUAUUAAUCUCUUUUUAAUCUUUUGGCCUUGUUGCUUGAUUUAGUGGCUUAAGCUCCAUCCCCAGUUUUUGAGCAACCCACUCUACAUUGCUGGGGACUCUUACUCGGGUGUCACUGUUCCAAGGGUCGCUUUAGAAGUUGAUAAAGGUAUCAUUAUUUAUUCAUUUUUUUGUAUUCUGCUUCCUUGUGAUUAAGCAUUUUAUAUUUGUAAUUCUACACGUCAAUAAUUUUAUAUUCAAAAAAUUUUCGAAUAAAAAAGCCCAAGUGCGUACUCCCCAAAUUCAAAUUAACCAAAAAAUAAGAAAAAUAUAAGUCAAUUUAGAUGCGUCCUAAAAGGCGAUUUUGUUUGUUUCUUUCGGGGAUCAUGGUUCAUUAUGAUUUAUACCAGGAAAUGAAGCUGGUUUGGAGCCUAAGAUGAAUCUUGAGGUAACUAUUGCUAUCAUCACAUUAGUACACUCAUUAUUUUGCAUUUCCUUUUUGAAAGAAUGAAACUUACUAGUUCAAUUUGAUUCAGGGCUAUGUACUCGGAAACCCCCUAACAAAUUAUGAUAGUGACCUCAAUUCAAGAGUCCCAUUUGCUCAUCUGAAGAGUCUUAUACCAAAUGAGCUAUAUGAGGUAAAGACUUCCGCUUUUUCUAUGGCAUGUCAUGCCACAAAAUUUUCACGUUUUUCGUUAUUGCUUGGUGCAUGAAAAGAUUG